rnacentral:lncRNA from 1 species
AGCUUAAGCCGCCGAAGGAUGGCCAGAGGGGCCUGGUGUUGUGAAAGAAGCUUGAUGAGCAGCACCGCACCACCAGUGCGAGGCACACCUAUGCCUCGGUGGUGUUUCCCAGACAUCGAGCAUCUCUGGAUCUCAUGACACCCUGCAUCUCUCUCUCCAGCACACCCAUGCUCAUCCUCAGUGACUCCUCUAGAAUUCUUGUGAUUUUUUAACUGGUGGGGGACAGAGAGAUCAUAGGAGCCCAUUUUUCAGAUAGAGAAAACUGAGCCUCAAGACCCGGGGGAGGAUCAAAAGGAACAAGUGGUAUUCUGGAAAAAAGUGGAACAAUGCUGUUUAACUUGCUGGCCGAAACUGGCUCAUCACAAAGGAGAGAGACAGACGAGGGAGCAGUGUGGCCACUUCUGACAUCAGUCUCAGGGAAAACAGUUUCUCACAUUCGUGGUAAAAACUGAAGAGCAUCUCCACUCUAACGAUAAAAAUCAAAAGGCCUUUCAUGUUUUUGCACAUUCAGGUUAAUAUAAUGAGAAAUGACGCUGGGAAUGACUGAUGAGCAGCUGUAAGCCCAUAUGUCUGGGGUGUUGCCUUUUUCUCUGAAUAGCAUACGUGUUUCUGCCUACCAAGAUCUCAGCGUGGCUGAGUGACUGAGCCUUCAGGCUUGGUAUUUCCCUGCCUCCUCUGUGUAUUUCCAAUUCUUUGACGUCACGAAUUUUCUGUUUUGGACAGCUUUGCCUUUUCCAGGAGGUGAAUGGUACGGGGAUGACUCACAGAAGUCUUCAGAUAAGAGGAGGACAAAAGAGACCCUUGUUCAGUGGCAGAAGUACCUGUAAAGCCUUAGCUUUGCCUGAGAUAUGACCUAUAACUGCUCUGAUUUUUGGACCCCAGAAAACCCUUGAAAGCUCAGCUUCCUUAUUGCUGCGUGGUCACCUUAUCACAGCACUGCAGAGCCUAGGAAAUAAAGGCACAGACUCUCUUUAGAAAACAUAUCUCCUUCCCGUCAGUCAAUCAUAAUCCUUAUUGUCACUUCAUACACCCUUU